rnacentral:rRNA from 1 species
CUACACAUGCAGUCGAACGGUAACAGGAAGCAGCUUGCUGCUUCGCUGACGAGUGGCGGACGGGUGAGUAAUGUCUGGGAAACUGCCUGAUGGAGGGGGAUAACUACUGGAAACGGUAGCUAAUACCGCAUAACGUCGCAAGACCAAAGAGGGGGACCUUCGGGCCUCUUGCCAUCGGAUGUGCCCAGAUGGGAUUAGCUAGUAGGUGGGGUAACGGCUCACCUAGGCGACGAUCCCUAGCUGGUCUGAGAGGAUGACCAGCCACACUGGAACUGAGACACGGUCCAGACUCCUACGGGAGGCAGCAGUGGGGAAUAUUGCACAAUGGGCGCAAGCCUGAUGCAGCCAUGCCGCGUGUAUGAAGAAGGCCUUCGGGUUGUAAAGUACUUUCAGCGGGGAGGAAGGCGAUAAGGUUAAUAACCUUGUCGAUUGACGUUACCCGCAGAAGAAGCACCGGCUAACUCCGUGCCAGCAGCCGCGGUAAUACGGAGGGUGCAAGCGUUAAUCGGAAUUACU